rnacentral:lncRNA from 1 species
GAAUAAUUAAGAUGAACAUAGUCAGACUUUGAAGUUUAUCGGUAAUUUUUGUUAGAAACUUGAAUGUAUGAUAAUUUACUUCUAUAGAUAUUUUUACCUCAAAUUUUUAAAAACACUCAAUUGGAAGUAGCUUUUCUGUUGUUGCAUUAAUAAUGUGACGAGUUUAUUAAUUUGGAGGGGUUUAAUUAGAAAUUGGUGGGUAGUGGAUUGAUUUAUAAAUUAUACUAAUAAGUUAAAUUAUAACAAAUAGUUUAGCGCCACGUAUUUAAAGAAAUUAAAUAGUUUAAAUUUAAAACCAUUAAAUUCAAUUUUGAACCAAAAGGUGGAUGACAAGGAUAUUUUGGAGCCAAUAGGUGGGCGGGAAGGGUAUUUUGGAUCCAAUAGGUGGAUAGAGGGUAAUUUUGUACCAUUUCCAAUACUUUGAGAGUAUUUUAGGCCUUUUUUCGUAUAAUAAUAAUAUGAUAUAUGCAUAUCUAUUCAGUAAUUAAACAUCCCAUAAUCACUGGUCAUAAUUGCCCUAAAAUAUAUCCCUCGGUUCUUGUCGACAGUGUGUCUAAACCUGACCUCAAUUCAACAAUUAUCAAAUAGAAAUUUAAUAGAACAGUAGAUGUUUUUGGGACAAUUUUCUAUUAAUCAACUGAAUAUAAGGAAUUACAACUUGAAACAAUGGAAAAUGAAUCUAAAGUUUAGAAGUUUCCAUGGAUGAGUCCUUAAUCUGCAGAAGAAGAAUGAGUGGGUUAGGAAGGAAGAAGAAGAAAUGAGAGAUAUCAUAGAGAAGAGAGAAUAAGUGAGAAGAUACUAAUUAUCCGUUAAGCCCCUCUUUCCUCUGCAAAGUUGGUUAAAUCAACACGACUAGUGCUAGUUUGGCAUUGAUGAUGUGGCUGCAUCUCCACCCUCUAAACUCAUUAAUCUACAUAUAAUCUGGACCAUUGCUUCUAAUUGGUAGUCAUAUCUACGUAUUGGAAGUCAAGGUCAUGACAAUUCCCACCCCUCAAAACAUCCUUUUCCUCAAGGAUCAAUAAUAAAAUCAAGAAACUUGUCCUUGAUGAAAUGAUAAUCUUCCCAUGUAGCAUCUUUAGGAAGUCACUAUCUGCCACUAAAGAACAACCACUGGUCGAACUAAAAUUUGACCAUCCUUCUCAGUAAUUGGUAGAAUAGAUUGCAACACCUCUCUAGCCCCUAUCUUCUUUUUGAGAAGCGAUACAUGGAACAUUGAAUGGACUUUAGAAGUAGGUGGAAGAUCUAGCUUAUAGGCUACUGGUCCAAUCCUUUCUAGAAUCUUGUACAGGCCAUAUAUUUGGAGCUAAGCUUCAAAUUUCUUCGUACACUAGUGGAGGACUGAAGCUUGAGGUAUACCAUCUCACCAGGUUGAGACUCCUUUUUAGAACUAUGAAGAUCAACAUAGUACUUCAUUCUUUCUUGAGCUUUCAACAAAUUGUCCUUAAGAAUUUGUUGUAUAUGUUGCCUCUUCAUGAACAAAUCUUCAGUAGCAGGCACCACAAUAUCCAUCAUUGGUCCCAUCGAUAGUUGAGGAGGUGAGUACCCAUACUAAUCUUCAAAAGGGGUGCAAUACGAGCUUGUGUGACAGUUGUUGUUGUACCACCACUCACCUAAGUGAAACCACUACUUCCACUGAUGAGUUCUGUGACUAGUCAUGCACCUCAAGUAUUUUUUAUACACCGAUUAACCCUCUCUAUUUUCCAAUCUGCUUGAGGAUGAUAUGAAGAACUAUAUAAGAGUUGUGUGCUACUCAAUUUGAAAAGAUCUUGCUAGAAAGUACUCAAAAAUAUCCUAUCUCGAUCAAGAAUAAUGAACUCAGGUGCACCACGAAAAGUGUGUACUCUCUUCCAAAAUUUAGUUGCUACUUGCAGAGCUAUGAAGGGUGGGAUAGAGAUAUAAAAUGAUCACCUUUAGUGAGCAUAUUAACCAUUACAAUAAUAACAUCCUUUCUUGAGGAUUUAGGAAAAUUUCAAUAAAAUCCAAACUUAUGUGUCUCCAUGACUAAUCAGGAAUGGGCAAGGGUUGCAGCAAACCUUGAUAGGGAACAUUCUCAUCCUUGCUCCUAUGAUUAACCUCAAACUGCACCAUCAUUUGUUUCAUUGAAGGAAAAUAGAGUAAUAUAGAAAAACUUUUGAAAGUUGCAAGUUGGCCUGAGUGCCCUCCUACGUUAGAAGAAUAGAAGGUCCAGAUCAAUUGAUGACAAAGAGGUCCAUUAGAGCCCACAUAAAUCUUCCCCUUCCUUCGCAAUACUCCUUAGUAGAAUUGCCACAGAUAUGGACAAUUAGUAUUACUUUCAACUGUGUAAUGAGCUCUACGGACAUAGGAUCUCCUUCAUAGCUAGUUUCAACCCCUUGGGCCCACAAUGGAACUGUUGCUCUAAUAUCAUGGAAUUGACCUUCUUCAUGCAAGUGGUUUUCCUCUUGUAGGUUAGACAUUAUAUUAGCUUCACUCAAGCUAACCCCUUCAUAUUGCCUUGAGAGUACAUCAGACACUUUAUUCUCUGCCCCUUUCUUAUACUGGACUUCAUAAUCUAACCCCAACAAUUUGGUCACACCACUUUGUUGCAUUGUUGUAGUAACCUCUGUUCAAGAAAAUACUUAAGGCUAUGAUGGUCAGUCUUGACCAGAAAAUGCUUAUAUCAAAGGUAAUGUCGCCACUUGUCUACUACAUUCAAUCGAGCUAAAUAUUCUUUCUCGUAGAUGGAGUUAUAUCUAUGCUUAAUAGCCAAUACCUUACUAAAAUAGGAUAUUGGUCUUCCCCUUUGUAACAGCACAACUCUGAAUCCUGAAUGACAUGCAUCAGUCUCUACUAAAAAUUCUUCAUCAUGAAUUUGGUAAUGCAAGCAUUGGUGUGGCAGACAUGACCUUUUUAAUUGCCGCAACAGAUUGAUCAGCUUCCUCAAUCCGCACAAUAACAUUCUUCUUCAACAAGUCAGAUAGUAGUCUUAUUAUUCUUUCAUAAUUAGGUACAUAUUUUCUAUAAUAUCCUGUUACACCAAGAAAUCCCCUCAAAGCUUUCACAGUUCUAGGGGUAGGCCAUUCUUCCAUAUCUUUAAGAACAUGCCCUAAGUACUCUUUAGAUUGACCAAAAGAGCACUUGGACCUUUUUGCAUACAAGAAAUGAAAUAAUAAGGUGUUGGACACCAACAGUAAAUGCUCUACAUGUGCAGACAAUGAUUUACUAUAAAUGAGAAUAUCAUCAAAAACACAAAAACAAACUUCAUGAGGUACAAUUGAAAGAAUUCGUUGGGGCCUAAAAGGUAACGGAAACUUUGGUAAUCCCAAAGGGCAUACCUUAAACUCAUAAUGACCUAUGUGAGUUAUGAAUGUCGUUUUGUACACAUUUUUAACCUUCAUUCUUAUUUGAUGAUAACCCUCUCUGAGAUCAAUUUUGGAAAAGACAAUGGUCCAUAUAGCUCAUCUAAAAGGUCAUCAAUGACGGGAAUUGGGUACUUAUCCUCACUUUGAUCUCAUUCAAUCCUCUGUAGUCUCACAAAACCGCAAGGUGCAAUCCUUUUACUUAACCAAUAGAGCUGGUGAGGAAAAGGGAGAUUAGUUAUGACUAAUAAUCCCAUUAGUAAGCAUCUUCGAAACAUGAUUUUAUAAUUCCUCCUUUUGGUAGUGAUUGUAUCUAUAAGGUCUUAGACUAACUGGUGAGGCUCCAGGAAUUAAGUUAAUACCAUGGUCCAGUUGUCUCACUGGUGGUAAAGACUGGCUCAGCAAAUAUGGACUAGUACUUGUCCAACACUUCUUGUAUAUGGCAUCCACCUGCUUUUACUCAUUGUAAGACUAUGCUCCUAGCAUGAAUAAAUUAGCCAUCAAGUUUUGAUCCUUCUUGAUCAGCCAUCCCAUGACACUACCAAUGAUCAUACUCAAACUAUUUUCACCUAUAAAAACAUGUAGAAUGGUUUUGUUUCCAUUUCUACCAAUUGUAACACACUUUUUUUCAUGAUCGAACUUGGUAGGAUUAUUUCUCUUAUUCCAAUCAUUUCCUAGCACUAGAUCAUAUCCUCCUUAGUUGAUGAUUCUUAGAUCCUCCUUGAGGCUUUUACAUUCAUUUUCCAAUUAAAACAAGGGCAACUAAUAUGACACGUCACAUAAUUUCCAUCAGCAACAAUGACCAAAUGCGGGAUUCUCAGCCACAUAACCAGUGUUAUCAACUGCUUGUUCGUCUAUGAUAUGAGUGCUAUCAGAAUCGAUCAACACCGCUAAUGCCCUAUUCCCUACAGACCCUUUGACCAACAUAAAAUUUACUCCUAGGAUACUACCAAAUAAUACCCUCAAACAUGUGUCCUUCAUAACCUUCUGUUGUAUCUCUCAUUCAAUGAUAAGAUCUGGUGGUUCAGGUACUUCUUCAUCACCCCUCAUGCAAUUCAACUGCUCAGCCUUGCGGUUAUGUCCUAGGUAGUACUUCUCUCCGCACCUGAAACAUAACUUGUUGCUCUUUCUAUAUUCAUAAACUUCUUGGGUUAACCUAAAAAGUGUUUGGUCUAGGUUUGUUCACAACAAUAGGUUUGAAGUAGUUUCUGUUAGAACAAAAAUACUCAAGAAACUGAUUUGAAAAAACAAAAAUAGAGUGAACUUAUGAAAUUCCUUGUAUAUAUUAAUCUAUAGAAAGUCUGAAUUUAUACAAGGAAAAACAUAAACAUUAAAAUUAAAUAAGAACAUGUGCCGCUAAUUACCAUAAAAUGGGCCACUAACUGCCAUAAUAGGGACACUAACUUCAGAAAGUUGACCAACUAAAGUUGCCUAAGUCUAGCUAGAAAAUAGGAAACACUAAACGAAAAUAAGUAAAAACCUGUGUAACACUCCUCCUUGGCUUCUUUGCCUAAAAUCUUCAAACCUUUCCUUUGGAAAUGACUUGGUGAAAAUGUCAGUUUGUUGGUUCUCAGAUGAACAAUGAACAAGCAACACUUCAUUAAAUUAUUGGACUUUUCUGAUAAAAUAAAACUUGAUCUUGAUAUGCUUAGUUCGACCAUGAAAAACUAGAUUUUUUUAGAUUUAAAUUGUUGAACAGUUGUCACACAUGAUCUUGGUAGCUUCUGCUUGUUCAUGGCCUAAGUCCUUCAUCAUCUUCCUUAGCCAGAUAGCUUGAUUCACAACAGAUGUAGCAGCUAUGUACUCAGCUUCUGCUGUUGAUUGAGCUGUAGUUUCUUGUUUUUUAGAGCUCCAACUAAAACAAUUUGUCCCAAACAGAAAAGAUAUCUAAAGUUGUUUUUGGAAUCAUCAACUCCACCAACCCUAUCACUAUUAGAGUACCCGAUCAGGUUCAUAGUUACUUCGGUAGAUGUUGAGAAAAAAUUACAAACUUGUUGGUUCCUUUAAUAUACCUUAACACUCUUUUAGCCGCUGUGAGGUGUGUGUCUCUAGGAGAAUGCAUUUUAGAUAUAGAAGUUUGCCAAUUAAGCUUCUAUGCAAACUAUCGUCCACUUCUUCGGAAUCCUCUUCCUUUCCAAGAUUCACACCAGUAUAUAUUGGAGUACUCACAGGUUUGCAGUCUUGCAUUUUGAACCUGUUUAGAAUAUCCAAAAUGUAUUUUAGCUAGCAUAUGAAAAUUCCUUCACUGGACUGCAACACUUCCAUGUCGAGAAAGUACGUCAUGACUCUAAGAUCAGUCAUUUCAAAUAUUUUCUCCAUUUCAUCCUUCAACCUUUGGAUUAGUUCAAUUUUGCUUUCUGUCACAAGCAUGCCAUCCACAUAAAUUGAUACAAUUAAGGAAUCCUCAGCAGCAUUGAAUUUCACAUACAAAGUAGCUUCACUUGACUUCUACUAAAGCCAAGUUGGAUGAGAUGAUUGUCCAUCCUCUCAUACCAUGCCCUUGGAGCUUGUUUUAGGCCAUACAAGGCCUUUCUUAAGAGAUAAACUUGAUACUCUUUUUUGGGAGUUGAGAAACCAUCAGGUUUCUCUAUAUAGAUCUCUUCAGCAAGAAAACAUUCAAGAAAGCCGAUUUGACAUCAAGUUGAUGAAUAUGCCAGGAACUAUGAGAUGCAAAUGCAAGUUUAAGCUUGAUUGUGUCAUACCUUGCUACAGGGGCAAACAUUUCCUGGUAAUCCACACCAUAUUGUUGUGCGUAUCCCUUCACCACCAAUCUAGCCUUAUGUUUGCAAACUGUUCCAUCAGGAUUGAGUUUUGUCUUGAAAAACCAUUUUACACCAAUCACCUUGCAAUUUCGAGGUCUAUCAAUAAGCUUCCAGGUUCCGUUCUUCUCGAUCACGUCUAUUUCUUCUUGGAUAGCUCUCCUCCAUGCCUGAGAGUCUUUUGCUUCAGCAUAGCUUGUUGGUUCAGAGGUAACCAAGUUACACCGUUAAUAGACAUCUUUUAAGGAUCGAGUUCCCCUCACUGGUACAUCAUCCACUAGUUCAUCUUCUGAAAGUUGAGGUUGCUCUAUUGAAAAUAAAUCAGAAUAAGAGGUCUUCUGAUUUUUCCAAUCCCAGCCUGCUGCUUCAUCAAAAUUCACUUUUCGGCUGAGAAUUAGUUUGUCUGAUUUCAAACAGAAAAUCCUUUAACCUUUGGAUGAACUAUAGCCCAUAAAUAUGCCUUUAUGAGCCUUGUUGUCCAGCUUACUCCUUUCUGUUUCUGGAACUUGAUAAUAACAUAUACACCCAAAGAUUCUGAGAUGGUGUACCGAUGGUUUGUUCCCACACCAUGCUUCAUAUGUAGUCAUGUCCUACAAGGCCUUAGUAGGCAAUUUGUUCAACAAAUAUACAGAGGUAUUGACUAAAUCAGCCCAAAUCUAAUUUGGGAUCUUUCUUUUGAGCAAAAGACAUCUGGUCAUCUCCAUUACUGUCUUGUUCUUCCUUUUAAACACGCCAUUUUGUUGUGGAGUGUAUGGUAAUGUCAAUUGGCGUUCAAUACAUGCGUUAUUACAAAACUCCACAAAUUUAGAAGAAGAAUAUCUAAGAUUACAUUGAUUUUCUACAAAAGCUUUAAAUUGUUUAAAAACAUAAAGACUUCACUCUUCAGUCUUAUGAAAUAAACCCAACACAUUCUAGUGUAGUUAUCAAUAAAGAGGAGAAAGUAUUUGUUACCACUCAACGAAAUUGUUUUCAUUGGGCCGCAAACAUUCGUAUGAAUGAGCUAAAGUUUCUGGUUAGCUUUCCGUACUUGAUUUGCUUGAAAUGACAAUUUUGUUUGCUUUCCCUGUUGGCAAGUUUCACAAACUUGAGCAUUAGAAAGAAAUUCAGGCAUAUUUUUCACUAGCUCCGUUUUUUCAUCUCCACAACGCUUCUCAUAUUGAAGUGACUAAACCUUUUGUGUCAUAGGUUUGUACAUGUUUGUGAAGCCUACUCAGUUAUUUUCUCCCAAUCAACUGAAAAACAUUUUGUUGCUCAUAUUCAUAAAAUAACUUUACUCCACAAGGGUCAGAAACAACACAUUCACAAUUCUUAAAAAGCGGAGAAUAAUUAUUUUCAAGCAUUUUUCCAACACUGAAAUUUUUUUGACUCAUAUUAGGUGUGUACAAAACAUCAGGAAUAGUUUUGAUACCUGAUAUUGUUGAGAUAGGCGUUGUAGCUCUGCCUUUGACUUCUACUGCCUCAUCGUUUCCCACUUUUACUUUAGAUUUGUAAGUGUCAUCGAGGAAUUUGAACAGUUCAACAUCAUUGCACAAGUGAUGUGUGCAAUCACUGUCAAGAAGCCAUGAAUCAGAGGAUUCACUUAUUGAAAAGUAGAAACUGCAAAGAGUUGCUCCUCAUGUGCAUCGGCAGCUUCUGCUUUUUGUGCUUGCAAAGCACCAGAGGCCUUUGCUCUUGAUUUGCAGACCUUGGAUAUGUGUCGCCUCUGCUUACAGUUGCAGCAUAUAGUAUCAAAUCUCCACCAACAAUACUUCUCCAAAUGUUUAUUUCUUUUACAAUGUUUGCAAGGAGGGAAGUUCUGCUUCACAUCUCCAGUGUUGUUUCCUCCAUCAUGCUUGCCCUUAUUCUUUUGGUGGAAUGGUUGCUUUCCUUGUUGCUUUUGUACAGAGAAAGCUCCUUUACUGACUUUUCCCGUCUCAUAUUCCUCCUUUAGUCUUGUGCACGAAGAGCACUCAUUAGUUCACCUAAUGAAAGUUUGCCUAGGUCUUUGGAUUCUUCAAGAGAGGAAAUCUUAGAUUCAAACCUCUCAGAAAGAGUCACAAGAACUUUUUCCACAAUUCGUUUUUUUGUAAACUCUUCGCUAAGAAUUCUAAUGUUAUUAACAAUUAAGGAGAUUCGAUCAGCAUGAUUACUGAUAGUUUCAUCCUCCUGCAUAUUCAACACUUGCAUUUGACGCAUUCUAUCGCUGCAUUGAUAUUGACACAUUCUAUCGCUGCAUUGAUAUUGACGCAUUCUAUCACUGCCUUGAUAUUCUUCUUUCAACCUAUCCCAAAACUCUUUUGCUGUUUUGCAAGCCAUGAUUCUGUAAAAUACAGAAUCUUCCACAGCAUUCUACAUAAGCAACUUGGCUUUAGAUUUUGUUUGCCCUCUCUUCGUUGUUGGAUUUGAUCUGAGCCAAGGUAGGAUUUGAUGAUAGAGCAGCAAGUGGUUUAUCUUCCGUCACAGUUUCCCAAAGUUCAUAGGCUUCCAAAGAAGCUUGCAUCUUCAUAGACCAUAUUUGGUAAUUUUCACCAGUGAAAGUGAAUGGUGGAUUUAAAGGUAGGUUGUUGGAUGUCAUUUGUUUUAUAGCUUAAAACUUUUUUGUCCAGUAAGAUCAACUAGAGGCUCUGAUGCCACUAUUAGAACAAAAAAACUCAAGAAACUUAUUUGAAAAAAUAAAAAUAGAGUGGACUUAUGAAAUUCCUUGUGUAUAUUAAUCUGCAGAAAGUUUGAAUUUAUACAAGGAAAAAACAUAAACAUUAAAAUUAAAUAAGAACAUGUGCCACUAACUACCAUAAAAGGGGCCACUAACAGCCAUAAUGGGGAUACUAACUUCAGAAAGUUGAGUAACUAAAGUUGACUACGUCUAACUAAAAAAUAGGAAGCACUAAAUUGAAAUAAGUAAAAACAGUAAAAAUAAUAAUAAGCUGGAAAAAAAUGUCAAUUGUCUAACAUUUUGAACCACCGGCAACCGUAGUAAUUAGAUUACUUCCCAUAACAUUCUUUGUAGAGCUAGACUCUCCCACCGAAUAGAAAGUUUUAGCCCUUCUUCUUCUUCAUCACUUCUAUUGCUUUCUCCUGUAGCCUAGCCUGCUCUAUAGUUGCUUUUAAUGUUACCAACUUAAACAUUUUGACCCCAAACUUAAUUUCCUCUUUCAAAGACCCAAUAAAACUUGACAGAAAAUGAGCCUCAUUCAAGGCUGAAUUCCUUAUUAUCAUAUGGGCUUUCAAGUCUUCAAACUUGCCAAGGAAUUCAUCUACAGUUCCUGUUUGAGAUAGCUUAUUAAAUUCCUCGACUGUAUCUUCAACCACUGUUUCCCCAAAUCACACACAUAGUUCCUCCUUAAAUUCAGUAACUACUUUUCUAUCAAAAACUAGUGAAUUAUAUCAAGUCCAUUCAAAUAGAGUGCAGCUCCCUCUACCUUCUGAUUAUCAACAAUUCUAUAUAGGUUAAAAUAUUUUUCACACUUACGCAACCAUACCUUAGGUUUGUUCCCUUCGAAGCUUGGUAGUUCCCGUUUAGGAAGUGGAAUAGGCAAUCAAGCCCUACUUUCCUGAUGCUCUUCAGUCAGACCAUCUUCAGGAGAGCUGACUGAUGCUCUUUUUAGAGAUUCCAAACGAUCCAAAAAUAGCUCCAAAGUUCACUUGAUUCCAGUUUGAGUCUUUUGAGUUCUUUGCAGUUCAUAGUGAGAUCUCCCAAAAUUUUAUCAUGACGAAGCAACUUAUCAUCUAACAGCUUCAUCCUGGUCCCUUCAACCAUUUUCACCUUCAUAAAUUGAGUGUAACCUUGCCCUGAUACUAAUUACUAAAACCUCACCUCAAUUCAACAAUUAUAAAAUAGAAAUUUAAUAGAACAAUAGAAGUUUUUUGGACAAUUUUCUAUUAAUCAACUGAACGUAAGGAAUUACAACUUGAAACAAUGGAAAAUGAAUCUAAAGUUUGGAAGUAUCAAUAGAUGAGUCCUUAAUUUGUAGAAGAAGAAUGAGUGGGAUUAGGAAGGAAGAAGAUUAAAGGAGAAAUCUGAGAGAAGAGAGAAUAAGUCAGAAGAUGCCCAUUAUCCGUUAAGCCCCUUUUUCCUCUGCACAGUUGGUUAAAUCAACGUGACUUAUGCUAGUUUGGCACUGAUAACGUGGUUGCAUCUCCACCCUCUAAUCUCAUUAAUCUACGUCUAAUUUGGAUUGUUGCUUCUACCCGAUAGUUAUAACUACUUAUUGAAAGCCAAGGUCAUGACACA